rnacentral:lncRNA from 1 species
UACAUCCUGUACAGGUUGCUAUGCAAUCAUUGACACAUACUGGCACUAUAGAGUGUACUGAUGAUAUCACAGGGUUGGGUUGGGCAUUCAUGCAAUACUACUAUCAGUUGCAAGUUACUUCCAGUGUGAUGCAGCAAUUCACUUAGCACAAAGCCUCUACUGAUCAUUCUUAGUCUCCACAGUAUGUCUGAUGAUGAACCUAGGGUAAGCCAAUAGCUAUAUACAGUCAUGCAUGUAUUCUCUUCAUUAGUUUGACUAUCAUCCAGGCAAGUGUCUGUUUUGUAAAGAAGAAACAGAAGUUCGGAGUGUUAGAAUAUUUGAAUGCUGGGACUGGCAUAAAUUUUGCAGGUCUUGUCUCAACUCUUCAUUGUUGAAGCACUGCCCGAUCCAUAGUAUGUCUCCAAGAAAUCCAGAAAAACCAUUAACACAUUCAAAAUAGAUAUUGUAUAUAACAAGCUAACAGUGUUUUAUAAUUCAAAAGUUAUAUUCUGAUUUUAAUAAUAUUUAAAGAAGAUAUAAAUGAUAAUUGUCUCUCAUAUAGUUUGUUACAUAAUGUAUGCAUUUUGAAGAAUGUUUAUUUAACAUGAACUAAGUGAGUGUGAAGUUCAUUGUUGCUAAGUUGAAGCAUUAAUGAAUUAUUAUAGUUCUGGGAAGUGGGUUAGUCCUGAGGCGAUGACUCUCUCCUCCUUUAGACCUCCCAGUAACCUUAUUCAUGUGUACACUGCUGUUAUUCUUUGAGGGUAAUUGUCACACCAGCUGUCCAAUCCAGUCAGCAACGUCUACACCCCGAUGAAACACCGAUAACAAUAAUACACACCUGUAUACAUGUACAUGUGUGAGAGCGGAAGAUAUGUGAAUACUCUUGUGGGCCGGAUACAUGAAAUCUAAUAUGCUGAUACAGCAACGCUAGCAAGCGAAAACAAGCCAGUAAGACAUGACACAGCAAACGAGAAAAUCCCCCACAACAAUGCACAUCCAUCAACGAUAUAAACGAAAGAAAAAAAACGGAAUAAGGUAAGUAUUUUUGAUACAGUUUCCAAUACAAUGGCAGUGAGUCCUUUUGAUCUAAACCUCACAAAAUUCUCUCUUGUUAGUACUAUACUGUAGCUCCAGAGUCCAAAGCAAAGUGCACUUGCUGUAAUGUGAGAUAUGCUGACUAUAAUGUCAGAGUCAAUGGAAGUGACACAUUCACUGAGCAGUACUGCAAUGAGUGCAAAGCCAAUCAUGUUAAGUCGUUGAAGUUUCCUGGAAAGGACCUCAUAUACUCUGCAAUAAGAGGAAGCCACCCAGUAAAUCCUCAACCACCAAAAAAACCAGUCAGUAGUAGAAACUGGCAUGGUCAAUGUGACUGCUGUCGGUUCUACUAUUAUGAGACGGCAUUGACAAAGCUCCAGUUUGAGUGCAAAGACACCUCACAUUCAAAAACAUGUUGUCUUGAGUGUGCAGCAGAUCACAGAUCUUGUCGCCAUGACUAUUCCAUUGCCACUAUGCCCUCGCUACACGACUUGCUAACAAAGUUGAUGAAAGUUGAUACCUACAAAGGACCAAUAACACCAUACAAUGAAUAUUAGAUACUAAUACAUUAUUUUUGUGACUAGAUUUUUUUGUAGAAACACACUGUUUUUGUUUUUCGUAUUUUUUGAAAAUCUAACAAUGAAGUGCAGUCUACAUGCAAUAAAAGUAUCAUUCCAUUUAAUAGGACAAGACAAAUUGUACGUGUAACUAUAUAGUAUCUACAGAAACAAUAGUACUAGGAAUGAACUAAGUAUACACUCAUGUACAUAUCUAUGAUCAAUCAAGAUGGGUAGGGAUUCUAGCCCACAUACUUCAGUACUGAUAAAGCAAUUUGACGUCCAACUACUUAAUACCGGUAUGCUUGAGAAAAUAGAUAUUUGAGUAUAAGGUGCUUGUUUGUUGCUUUAAAGUUAUGGCAGUGAGUAGCUAAUCGAUUAGAAUAUUACAAUACUGUAUUUUAUAGAGUGCACCUUCUAAGAAGUGCUCAUGCUGCAGGUGGAGAGAUCCAGAUUAUAAUGCUUAUAAUGAAGGAAGCUCUCAUAUUACAGCUAGUUACUGCAAACAGUGUAAAGAGCUCCACAAAACAUCAGCUACAUAUGCUGGAAGGUCAUUAAAAUAUAAGAAGUACAAUAGUCCAAAAACAUCUUCCGAGACAUCAUUGUUUGAGACAUCAUCUUCAGAAACACCUUCAGAAAGUGAUGAAGAACCAGAGUUACAAAACUGCUUUUGCUGCGAAGAUGAUUAUGAAGUGUCAGCAGUCAUUACAAUGCAAUAUUUAUGUAAAGACAAAGAUCAUCAUAUCAAUGUCUGCUAUAACUGUGCUAAGCAGCACAGGACAUGCCCUUAUGACUGUGCUAACAUGACACUGGAUUCAAUGAAAGAUUUUGUUGACAUGCUAAGAGAUAAAAAUAUUGACAAAAAACCUUAUAAAAAGUAAUUAGAACAUUGUGAUUUUGUAUAACAAUGAUACUUAAUUGAGUAUUUAGUAUAGCUGAGAGCAUAGAAACCUUACUAACAAUGUAUUGUAAUAAUGAUAUGGGCAUGGGCUAGUAUUGGGGAGGACUUAGUGUUGAGUAAACAGCCACUAUAAAGAUAUUAACAAUAAGAGUACAUAUCGGUAGAGGUUUAUUUGUCCUCUAAAUCUCAAAGAUAUAAGAGCCAAUUUGUGGAACAGUUUUAAUGCAUAGCAAAUAGAAAAAGACAAUAUUAGACAACUCCAAAUUCCUAUCCUUUUAAUUCAUGGAAGCCUUACUACUCGGUAACAUUAUGUAAAUAUAUUCAUGAUCAGAGGAAUAUUAUCAUGUGAGGCACGAGCCUCUCCUCCUAUUCCCUCCUACGUAUACACACAAUAACCACAAUAUACAAAGACGUAAGGGGCUCUCCCUGGUAUCGUCCCGAUGCCGAUAAUGAUACAGCAUUUGCUAAUUAUGCCAUAAACACAAAUUCUAAGUAUAAAAGAGUUACACCAAAUGUACACAAAAUGUAUCAAUUAUUGUGCUCCUAAUAACUGACUGAGUCUUGAGAAUGGCAACUGCACACAAACAGUCAUCUCCUCCUAAAUGCCAUUGUUGUAAAUCACGAAAUGCAACAGGGAAGUAUUCCAACGAGUCCUCUUAUUGCAAAGAGUGUGCAAGUGAUCAANCAAAAAGAGGAACAUUGCUGAGCAAGUAUCCAGCAAUACCCCAAUGUUUUGGCAGUGUUGGACCAUAUGAAAAUUUUACCAAAUGUCAAUGCUGUCAAUUUGCUUUCACAUCAAAAAAAGAGGUGACAACACUAUUCUACAAAAAUGAAGACAGAUUCAACUACUGCUACAAUUGUGCCCCAAACCACAAAGUGAGCCCAAAUGAUCCCGACUUUGGCUUAAACCAUGAAGGCCUAAGACAACUAUCAAAGGUUAUAAGAGAAAACAAAUAACUAUAUGGAACAAUUAUUGCUAAGUGUUAAUCUAUACUAUUAUGUAUCAUUUUCAUAGCUGAUAGUACAUGUAUGUAUGUGUCAAAUAUAUAAACAUUUUAUUAUAUCCUUAGCAACAAAUACAUUUAUGAACUUAAUCUGAAAUACAACAUGCGCUUUUAGUUGUAAAACAACAAAAAGCUGGCAAUCAAGUUCUAUAGAAAAGGCAACAUUAGACAACUUCACCUUUUAAUUCAUGGAAGCCUUACUACUCGGUAACAUUAUGUAAAUAUAUUCAUGAUCAGAGGAAUAUUAUCAUGUGAGGCACGAGCCUCUCCUCCUAUUCCCUCCUAUGUAUACACACAUAACCACAAUAUACAAGACGUAAGGGGUUCUCCCUGGUAUCGUCCCGAUACCGAUAAUGAUACAGCAUUUGCUAGCUACACACAAAUUCUAAGUAUAAAAGAACCACAGCUAAUAUACACAAAAAUGCAUCAAAUUUAUUGUACUCCUAAAACUGACUGAGAUUCUUGAAAAUGUCAACUACUAAAUGCUACUGUUGUAACUACCGCUAUGCAACAGAAGAAUAUUCCAAUGGUUUUUACUGCACACAAUGUGCAAGUGAUCAACCAAACAAAGGAAGUUUUGUGGAUGAUCACACACCAAUGCAGCAACUUUUUGGUAGAGUUGGACCAUUUGAAAAGGAAAAGUACACCCAAUGUCAUUGCUGCCAAUUUUUCAUCACAUCACAACAAAAUAUAGCAACAUUAUUCUACAAGUGUAAUGACAGUUUCAACUUCUGCAAUGAUUGUGCUCCAAACCACAAGGUGUGCCCAAAACAUCCUGCCUUUGGAUUAAGCCAAGAAGGCCUAGUUCAAUUAUUGAGGCUAAUAAAAAAUAACCAAGAAUAACAACUAUAGAACAAAUUAAAACUUUAUUGCUAGAGUGUCAAUAUGAGGCAUUUAUUACUAUACUAAUACUAUUAUUACUUUAUUAGCCUUUUUAAUGUAUAGCAAUAAAUUUAUUUAGCAAUAUUUCAUUCUUAAAAUUCUGUUUAUAUUCAUGAAUAUGAUCUGCACUAUACUACUUUAUAAAAUGAUAAAUGAAACAUUGUAAAAAGCUGGUGAGGAAAGCUUUAUAGCUAUGAGCAAAACUAUCUAUAGCAGUGUGAUAUUAUAUGACUAUGCACUUAGGCACACAAACAGUCAUCUUCAUAAAUCCAUGAAGGCCUAAGACAACUAUCAAAGGUUAUAAGAGAAAACAAAUAAAUAUAUGGAAAACCUAUUGCUAAGUGUUUCUAUAAUACUAUUAUGUAUCAUUUUCAUAAUUGAUACCAUGUGUCAAAUACAAACCUUUAUCAUAAAUCCUUAGCAACAGAUAUGAACAUUCAUAACUUAAUCUGAAAUACA